GAGUUUGAUCAUGGCUCAGGAUUAACGCUGGCGGCAUGCCUAAUACAUGCAAGUCGAACGGAGUAGCAAUACUUAGUGGCAAACGGGUGAGUAACACGUAUCUAAUCUACCAUUUAGUGGGGAAUAACUGUUGGAAACGACAGCUAAUACCGCAUAAUAUUGCUGGAUAAUUUCCAGUAAUGAAAGGAGCUUUCAAGCUCCGCUGAUUGAUGAGGAUGCGGCGCAUUAGCUAGUUGGUAGGGUAAUGGCCUACCAAGGCAAUGAUGCGUAGCCGAUCUGAGAGGAUGAACGGCCACAUUGGGACUGAGACACGGCCCAAACUUCUACGGAAGGCAGCAGUAGGGAAUUUUUCACAAUGGGCGAAAGCCUGAUGGAGCAAUGCCGCGUGACUGAUGAAGGUCUUCGGAUUGUAAAGGUCUGUUGUAAGGGAAGAAAUGGUAAAACAGGAAAUGGUUUUAUCUAUGACGGUACCUUACCAGAAAGCCACGGCUAACUAUGUGCCAGCAGCCGCGGUAAUACAUAGGUGGCAAGCGUUAUCCGGAUUUAUUGGGCGUAAAGGGUGCGUAGACGGUUUUGCAAGUCUGAGGUUAAAUUUAGGAGCUCAACUCCUAAUCGCCUUGGAAACUACAAGACUAGAGUAUAGGAGAGGUUAGUGGAAUUCCAUGUGUAGCGGUGGAAUGUGUAGAUAUAUGGAGGAACACCAGUGGCGAA
rnacentral:rRNA from 1 species